CGGCGGCCAGCCGGGCCCGCGCGCUCCAGGACCCCGGCCGGCGGAGGAACGCGAUCGGGCAAGGCUGGGAGCCGGCCGCCGCUGGGAACCCGGUCUCGCCCUGUGCGGAGGCCCCGAAAGGAAGGGGGUUUUGACAAGGAAACUGUGAAGCGAAAGAACUAAACAGGAUGGUGGGCCCGUUUUUUAGGAGAGUCAAGUGCAAAAGCAGAAGCUUCAAGUGUUAAACUCCCCAGGCGGGGCAGGGCUGGUGGUCUGUUCCUUUCAUCCCCCAUCACGCUGAGUGACAGACGGUAAUGUAGACGCGGCUGAUUUCUGAUAUGAAUACCCAGUUCUAUACUUUCAGAAUCUUAGUUCCCGGACUAGGACUAGCACCUGUGCCCUCUGCAUCGAAAACCCAGAGUCCUAACCACUGGACAACCAGGGCAUUCCCAGGCUCAACUCUUGAUGAAUUCAGAAUGUAUUGCUGCCACUGAGAAGUUAUAUGUUGUCCUCAGAGACAAAGAUGACUCUCCAGCAUCUGUAUGGCGAGAUCAAGGGAUAUAAGUCAGCUGACCUACUUUCAAAUGACUGCAGAAGGAACAAAGAAGUUGCAAACCCAUUCAAAUGGUGUUAGGGAUAAAUUAGCUCAGAAUAGUUUUGAAGAAAAUAAACUAUCAAGGUCAAAGUGUGCAUUGAAAUAUUGAUAAAUUCCCUUCUCCUGUUAAAUCAUUAAAGAUCUGGUAAACAACCCAGGGAUCAAACCGGGGGUCUCCUGCACUGCAGG